rnacentral:rRNA from 1 species
GCCGGACCUGACUGCUAUCGGAUUGAUACUAAGCCAUGCGAGUCUUUGUAGUAAUACAAGGCAUACGGCUCAGUAACACGUAGUCAACCUACCCUAUGGACGAGAAUAAUCUCGGGAAACUGAGCAUAAUUCUUGAUAGAUCAUAAUGCCUGGAAUGGUUUAUGAUUAAAAUGAUUCGUCGCCAUAGGAUGGGACUGCGGCCUAUCAGCUUGUUGGUGAGGUAAUGGCCCACCAAGGCGAUUACAGGUACGGGCUCUGAGAGGAGAAGCCCGGAGAUGGGUACUGAGACACGGACCCAGGCCCUAUGGGGCGCAGCAGGCGAGAAAACUUUGCAAUGUGCGAAAGCACGACAAGGUUAAUCCGAGUGAUUUCUGCUAAAGAAAUCUUUUGCCAGUCAUAAAACCACUGGUGAAUAAGGGGUGGGCAAGUUCUGGUGUCAGCCGCCGCGGUAAAACCAGCACCUCAAGUGGUCAGGAUGAUUAUUGGGCCUAAAGCAUCCGUAGCCGGCUUUGUAAGUUUUCGGUUAAAUCCAUGUGCUCAACGCAUGGGCUGCCGAAAAUACUGCAUAGCUAGGGAGUGGGAGAGGUAGACGGUACUCAGUAGGUAGGGGUAAAAUCCUUUGAUCUAUUGAUGACCACCUGUGGCGAAGGCGGUCUACCAGAACACGUUCGACGGUGAGGGAUGAAAGCUGGGGGAGCAAACCGGAUUAGAUACCCGGGUAGUCCCAGCUGUAAACGAUGCAGACUAGAUGAUGCAUUGGCAUAAUAGCCAUUGCAGUGUCUCAGGGAAGCCGUUAAGUCUGCCGCCUGGGAAGUACGUACGCAAGUAUGAAACUUAAAGGAAUUGGCGGGGGAGCACCACAAGGGGUGAAGCCUGCGGUCAAU